AUUGAACGCUGGCGGCAGGCCUAACACAUGCAAGUCGAGCGAGCGGCGGACGGGUGAGUAAUGUAUGGGGACUGCCCGAUAGAGGGGGAUAACUACUGGAAACGGUGGCUAAUACCGCAUACUAUCGGAUAACCCAUAUGGGAUUAGCUAGUAGGGGGGGUAAAGGCUCACCUAGGCGACGAUCUCUAGCUGGUCCGAGAGGAUGAUCAGCCACACUGGAACGGGGACACGGCCCAGACUCCGACGGAGGCAGCAGUGGGGAAUAUUGCAAAGUAGGCGCAAGCCUGAUGAAGCCAUGCCGCGUGUAUGAAGGAGGCCUUAGGGUUGUAAAGUACUUUCAGCGGGGAGGCGUUACCCGCAGAAGAAGCACCGGCUAACUCCGUGCCAGCAGCCGCGGUGAUUC
rnacentral:rRNA from 1 species